UACAGAGGGUGCGAGCGUUAAUCGGAAUUACUGGGCGUAAAGCGUGCGUAGGCGGAUUAUUAAGUCAGAUGUGAAAGCCCUGGGCUUAACCUAGGAAUUGCAUCUGAAACUGGUUAUCUAGAGUAUGGUAGAGGAUAGUGGAAUUUCCGGUGUAGCGGUGAAAUGCGUAGAUAUCGGAAGGAACACCAGUGGCGAAGGCGGCUAUCUGGGCCAAUACUGACGCUGAGGCACGAAAGCGUGGGUAGCGAACAGG
rnacentral:rRNA from 1 species